UACAGAGGGUGCGAGCGUUAAUCGGAAUUACUGGGCGUAAAGCGCGCGUAGGCGGCUUUGCAAGUCGGGUGUGAAAUCCCCGGGCUCAACCCGGGAACUGCGUCCGAUACUGGAAGGCUUGAAUCCGGGAGAGGGAUGUGGAAUUCCAGGUGUAGCGGUGAAAUGCGUAGAUAUCAGGAGGAACACCGGUGGCGAAGGCGGCCUCCUGGACCGAUACUGACGCUGAGACGCGAAAGCGUGGGUAGCAAACAGG
rnacentral:rRNA from 1 species